CAAUAGCGUAUAUUUAAGUUGCUGCAGUUAAAAAGCUCGUAGUUGGAUUUCGGGUGGGAAUGGCCGGUCCGCCGUUUCGGUGUGCACUUGCUACGCCCACCUUGCUGCCGGGGUCGUGCUCUUGAGUUCACGCUCGGGACACGGAGUCGGCGAGGUUACUUUGAGUAAAUUAGAGUGUUCAAAGCAGGCCUACGCUCUGAAUACAUUAGCAUGGAAUAACACGAUAGGACUCUGGCCUAUCUUGUUGGUCUGUAGGACCGGAGUAAUGAUUAAGAGGGACAGUCGGGGGCAUUCGUAUUUCAUCGUCAGAGGUGAAAUUCUUGGAUUUAUGAAAGACGAACUACUGCGAAAGCAUUUGCCAAGGAUGUUUUCAUUAA
rnacentral:rRNA from 1 species